ACACAGUCCAUUGGUAACAAGUUUUGGCAUACAGAUUGAUUAACAUCUCUGUUGAUCAAACUUAAAUAACUUGGUCUUCUCAUAUAAAAUAUAAUUAUUUAAAUACUUUUUUGUUCAUCUAUAAAAGAGUAUUUUCGCCUGCAAGCCACACUUAAUGUUACACCAAUUCAUAUGUUUUACAACAAAGUAUGAGCAUUUACUGUAAAAGCUGUGUUUGAAUUGUUGUGAAAUUCCUUAGUGUAUGAAGAUCGUUUUCCAGUCGAAGUCGAUCAUAUAUAAAGUCGCGAUGCAGAUACAUAUACAAUUUAAGCAUUUGUUGGAACUAGAGAGGCAAGGGAAUUGACUCAUAUUAUAAUAGAUGAUUGGAGUAUAACCGUAUAGACAAUGACCUUUCUACAUGGAUCUUUCGUUUCGUUCAAUUGGACUAUAAAUUUAUAAACGAAUGCAAUGUGGGCUACUUACAAACGCUUUUUCGUAGAUAAUAGUCUAGUCUUUAAACCAUAAUAGCUAUUAAGACGUUAUUUCAAAA